UACGUAGGGUGCGAGCGUUAAUCGGAAUUACUGGGCGUAAAGCGUGCGCAGGCGGUGAUGUAAGACAGAUGGGAAAUCCCCGGGCUCAACCUGGGAACUGCAUUUGUGACUGCAUCGCUGGAGUGCGGCAGAGGGGGAUGGAAUUCCGCGUGUAGCAGUGAAAUGCGUAGAUAUGCGGAGGAACACCGAUGGCGAAGGCAAUCCUCUGGGCCUGCACUGACGCUCAUGCACGAAAGCGUGGGGAGCAAACAGG
rnacentral:rRNA from 1 species